rnacentral:rRNA from 1 species
UGGGGAAUUUUGGACAAUGGGGGAAACCCUGAUCCAGCCAUCCCGCGUGUGCGAUGAAGGCCUUCGGGUUGUAAAGCACUUUUGGCAGGAAAGAAACGUCAUGGGUUAAUACCCCGUGAAACUGACGGUACCUGCAGAAUAAGCACCGGCUAACUACGUGCCAGCAGCCGCGGUAAUACGUAGGGUGCAAGCGUUAAUCGGAAUUACUGGGCGUAAAGCGUGCGCAGGCGGUUCGGAAAGAAAGAUGUGAAAUCCCAGAGCUCAACUUUGGAACUGCAUUUUUAACUACCGGGCUAGAGUGUGUCAGAGGGGGGGGGAAUUCCGCGUGUAGCAGUGAAAUGCGUAGAUAUGCGGGGGAACACCGAUGGCGAAGGCAGCCUCCUGGGAUAACACUGACGCUCAUGCACGAAAGCGUGGGGAGCAAACAGG